UUGCCCAAAGAGCAAUGGAUAUUUGAUGGAGUUUUGUGAAAUAUAUAUAUAUAUAUAUAUAUAUAUAUAUAUUUCACAAAACUCCAUCAAAUAUCCAUUGCUCUUUGG
rnacentral:miRNA from 1 species